UCUGUUAACCAGCACUGCUGGCUCCCGGGCAUCGUGCUUUUCAUGCUUCUGCUAAUCACUUGUUAAUAAACAAGAGGAGAACGCAGCCUCGUGUAGCCCUCUAGAAGGACCUCCUGCCUUGUGGGCUUGAGCUGUUGGGCUGCAUCCACACCCUCUGCUCCCAGUCCUUUUGCAGUGCCAAGGGCAGACAGUGGGGCCCUCGUGUGCUGUCGGUGUGGGACUGCAAAGGGAGGUGGUGCUGGGUGGGUUGGUGCUGCAGGAAGCACAGCUGGGCAGGGGGAUCCUCACAGCUGUUUAAUAUCUCAUGGGUCACCUCAGUGCUCAUCCUGCAGGAUCUCUGCCCCUCACAGCCUGCCUGGGGUGAGGUACCCCCAGCUGCCCCUGUGGGGGCUGUGUAAAGUCUUUGAGCCCUUCCCAUCAAAGCAGUACUCUAAGGGCUUUUCUCUCCUGUGGCCCUUGCUCAUAGGUGGCUCUUCAUGCUCUGUGAGCAGAUCUGGUGCCUCCUGUUCUGCCAGCAGGUAUCCUGGAGCACAGUGCUGCUGGGAGGAUUCCCCAUUGGAUUUGGACAUCGGGACACUGCUGGAGAAGACUGUGCAGAAGUUGCUCAGCGAGUGUCAGUAGUGCAGUGGGGACAGCGUGCCAGGGAUGCUCAAAGGAAGCACGGAGAUAUGGAGCUUUCUGAAGACCUUGCAACACCUUUCCUCUGGCCUUGCAGAAAGGUAAAAGCAAGAACACUGUCUGCAACAGUUUGUUAUUCAGAAACAGUGGGCUGGCUUUUGUUUUUUGCUGGUGAAACUUCAAUGUAAAGUUGGGAAGAGGCAGCAUUGCUCCGUCAUUGCGUCCCCAUGGUCGGUGCUCUCAGUCUGUGCCAGUUGCACUGCUCCUCUGCCAAGGGAACGAAGGCAGCAGAAGUUUCACAGUUGAAGUGAGGUUGGUGCCUUCUGGGAACAGGGAUCUGUUUUGCUGAGCAGAUAGAAGGGUCCGCAGCACCUCCUGGGAAAUGUAGUCCUUUCGUAGUGCUUUGCAGAGUUAAUCAAUUAAAUAAAAGCCAUGCAGUCGUACUACAGCUCCCAGAACGCAGUGGCCCACAGGGUGUGGGGGCACAGGUGUUUAAAAAUGGAAAAGGUCCAGGGUUGGGGGGGUUUACAGCCAGGUUCUGCCCUCUGCCACUCAUCUCCUCAGGUCUGGUCCAACCACUCAGCCCUUUUGGGAGCUUUACACGUGUGCACAUCCACAGUGUCCUCGCACUCCUUGCAGCGCACAGCGCAGCACCAGUGGAACUUGCACUCACACUUGGUGACGCGGGUGACGCGGGUGGUGUCGUACCCCCUCCCGCAGCACAUCACCUCGCAGCCAUCGGUGCCACGGGAGAUCUUGUUGCACACGCGCCCUGCGGUGCCCAGUGAGCCUGGAGGGGAGGAAACAACAGCAGGUCAGGCAGUUCCCCCCCACACCGUGUUGAGAGCUCCCUGCGGCCCCCCACCCAUGUGUCCAUCACCUGGGGCCUCAGGUGGGGCUGUUUUAUCAAGGCUGUUGGGGGCUCCUUCCCCACCCACAGAGCAUCCUGGCCCCAGGGAUGCUCUAAGAGACACAGAGCGGCACCCCUGGGGGCUGCAGGCCAUUGGGGGGCAGGGAGAGCUGCUGUAGGUACUUAUGGGAGGUUCUGUGUGUACCUGCUGACUUGUCCAUCACGCAGUAGUCGGGCGAGUUCUCAAAAUACACCAGGUCUGUCUUUGUGGGCUUCCUGAAGUUCUUGUUGGCCACGGUAAAGCCGGUACCGUCCUGGUUCAUGAUCACCUGGAUGGCCCCAUUGUAUUUCUUCCGCAGGUAAUCCCCUGUUUUCCGGAAAUCCGACAUGGCCAGCCAACAAGUCCUUAAGGUGCAGGAGCCGCUGACCCCGUGGCAUUUGCACUCCAGCUUCAGGAAGCGCUUCACAGCCUGCAGGAAGGGGUAACACAUCAGGACUGGGAAUGGUGGCCACAACCAGUGGGACCAUCCUGGGUGUAUUCAAGGCCAGGCUGGAUGUGGCUCUGGGCAGCCUGGUCUAGUGGUUGGCAACCCUGCACAUAGCAGGGGGUUGAAACUAGAUGACCUCGAGAUCUGUUUCAACCCAGGCCAUUCUAUGGUUCAAUGAAAGGAGCCCCAGGGAUGGGUUCUCCUCUCCCUGACCCCACAAACACACUCCUGGCAGCCUUGGGAAGUAUCCCAGCCUCACUCACCAUCCUGCCACAGCGGUUGUUGUGCAGGUUCAUCAGCGCCCGCGCGUCCUUCACUUUCUUCUCCUUGGCAUCCACGAAGGCUUUGGCGAAGCGGAUGCCAUAGUUGAUGUUGUCGCUGCAGCCGCCCCAGUCGAACUCCCCGCGCUCAUCCUUGGCACGACCACGUUUCAGUGGGUCACAGCCACAGGCCUUCAGCUCCCCUUGGCUGCAGGCACGUGUGAUGGCGUACACCACCCCAGCCGAGGAGAUGGCAUAGACAAAGGCGGCCUCCCUGCUGCCUGCGGGCACAGAGUGUGGGGGAAUAUGUGAAGAACCUUUCUCUCCCUCCCCCAUCCCAACUCACACCCUGCACUGGGGCACAGCACAGACACACAGCAGCACCUACUUCUCAGCAUCACCCUCCCGAAGACGGUGUGGUCCCGGUCCAGUGUGCUGCAGUUCCAACGGUGGUGCCGGAACUGGUACUGGCACUCACGGAUCCAUUCCUUAGCUCCUUCCCCGACGGACUGCAUGAUGUCUGGGUACCUUUGGCACAGCUGCCUCUGCUUGUUCACCAGCCCUGGGAUGUUGUCGCAGAUCACCCUCGCCCCCAGCGCCCCAAUGUACCUGCAGGGAGAAGGGAAUGGUGUGGAGAUGCAGGCUCUGGUGCUGCGUGGCACCAAUGCUGAGGUGGAAGAAGAGGAGAUGUGAGCUUUGCUUGUUGCUGCAGGUCUUGCUCAUGCUGCUGGCACCAAGUCCUUAAGAUGGACAACUGGUGCUGUGCUGUCUGGCCUGCAUGCACAUCGUCUGCACCUUUAUGCACUGCUGGGAGCAGGCAGCAGCUCCAUGCAGCAGUAGCAAUGUUUGAUGUGCAGUGGGCAGCUUUCCACACCAACCAGGGGGAUCCCAGCUCUUCCUGCACCCAGCAGCCCUCAGGCUUGCAUGGACAAUGGAGACAUGGUGGAAUUUUCCAUCCCCAUCCCAUGCGUGCUGUGCCAGCAGGCAGCCUGCUCUGUGCCGGCAGUGAUUUUUGCCACAUAGCACGGAGCUGCUAUUCUGGCUGCAAGGGAAGAGGUUUGGGUGGGAUUCAAAUGUUUCAACCCCCCACCCAGAGUGGAAAUAAGACCCUCCCUUUAAUCACAAUAAAAAGCAAUAAGCUUGGGCAAUGUAUCAUUGUCUUUCUCUCUCUCUCUCUGGCCAUGCUCUAUCAUUUCCAUCAGCUUCAGAGAUAGCUCCCAGGCUCAGGAAAACCCAGCGAGCAGAGAAAGCAAUGGGAUCUUUUCCACCCUUCUUUUUCUUUUUCUUCUUUUUUUUUUACACUAUUUUGUUUAAAUGCUGGCAGAAGCAUGAGGUCAUCUCAGGCUGGAGCUGAGGAUGACAGGCACAGCUCCCCAUAGCUCUGCUGCACUGGGGCCUGUGGGCACUGUGUCUUUGUGGUGGCAUAAAGCAGGAGGGCAGCAGCACCCCCAGAGCUGGGAGCAAAGGAAACCUCCAUUUGGGAGGGGAAAGAACAGCCAAACAUUGGUUUUGGAUUGGUGAAAGCAUCCCCUCUGAUCAUACUGCUGAAGUGCUGGGAUGCUUUGAAAGCACUGAAAUAGGGAAUAGAGGGGUGCUCUGAGAAGCUCCCAGUUCCUUUAGCAGAAUGAUUGCAGGUGUACAUCUGGGUUUUCUGAGUAGUGUCUGCAGAGCUCUGUGCUGCUCUGGAUCCUUCUGGUUCUGUUCCUGUUUCCUCCAGGUUUUCAGCUUGCUGGGAGAUGGGUGAGCAGCACUGUGCUCCUCCUGCCACACCUCCACCUUCUCAUCUCUUCCCAUGGUGAACACCACAUGCAGCACCAGCACAGACCAGCGGCUUCGUGUUCUGCAGGUUAGUGCUGUCAGAGCCUGGGUGUAAGGGAGGGGAAGCAGUCCCAGUUUGCUGUCUGCUCUCUGCUCUUUGGGGCCAUCCAGCCGUGAGGCCGAUGCUCUUUCCCAACAGGCUGCGCGCUCCGGCUGCGCCAUGCGUGGGGAACAGGAGACAACUGUCACAUGUUGGCUCCCAGUUGUUUUUCUUGCUCUAAGAGUCUGCUGACUUCUCCUCUUGUAAACAAGGAGAAACCUAAAUUGCUUCUAAGAUAAACAUGCAAAUCAGAGGCAGACGCGUCUAUGUACUUGGCAGCAUGAAGUUGUGCUAACCCCCUCCCCACGCACGCCCUGUGCUGAGAUGCGCUCCUGGGACUGCACACCCGGCUGCCCCAUUGCUCCCUGCUCCUUAGGGAUCUCUUGCAAAGCUGUGUGGCCCACAUUGCAUCUCUACCCCUGGUUGAGGCUGCCCAGCAGCUCAGGGUUCUGCCCGCUUCUGCUCUCCCCAUGGGUUCAAGGGGUGUCUGUGCUGAUGUGCAUUGGCUGCAGGCUCUGGGAUGUGCCACGCAGUGUUCCCAGAAGCAGCUCUCAUUCUCCUGGUGUGCCAGAGUCCCUUUUUGAUUGCUAACUGUGCUUUUGGCAGCAGCCCUCCUGCUGCUGAGCUAUUGAGUGAGAAAUGCAAGCUCCCGCUGUGGGGAAAGCAGGGCUGCACCAGUACCAUGGAAGGCACAAUGCUAAAUCAGAUUGAUAGCAGCUGAGGUUGGCACCAGAGGUUAAAGUGGGGUGCCCAUCUUUGGGGCUGCAUUAGAACAGACCCCAUCCCAGCUGGAGCCAGGGGCAGCUCUGAGCUCAUCCCUGCAGCUUCUGUUCUCUUCCUUCCCACUGAGAGGAUACGGAAUCUGCACUUUGGUGGGAGGCCGAGAGCCCCCGGCAGCUGUUGGAGACACCUCUUCCGAUAGGAUCGGAUCCAGCAUCCCUGCCUCUUUAUCUGAUAAAGAGCGAAUUCCAGAGGGCCUGGCAGCAUCUCUCUCCUCGAGUGCUUUGCAUAGUUCCUGUGGAGGCUGCUUGCUCCCUCCUCAGCUCUGCACGGGGCUGGGGGGACAAUUUAUAGCCAAUGGCACCACGCUUUGGGUUGCAAGGUGCUAUCGACAUAUGAGAUAUUAUUUUAUUAUUAUAAACCCUGAGUAUUUUAUUAAGCCCCACUGGGAACGGGGCCAUCCUGGCCUGCUGGAAUUGUUAGCGCCUUGGAGUGAUUAAUAGUCCUAAUUUCCUCACUUAGAGCCACUGCUCUGUGUGCUGAGAGCGUUAGUCUCACUUGAAUAAUUUCUAAUAUCAUAAUGCCGGGUGAGGCUGCUCCAAGCGACCCGGCCAAUGAGCUUGGGAGAGCAGAAGGAUUUUUUCUGUUGUCUCUCUCUUUUAAGAGACACUUCCUAUAGGUGAAAGUGACCCUAAUGAAAAAUGAACUACGAAACACAAUUAGGGUUAUUAUAACUGAGCGGAGAGACUGAGAGAACCCAUCUGUUCCCAAAUGCUCCCAGCACAGCGCCAGGACUGCCCUGAGGGCGCAGUUUGUUCUCCAUCCCUCCAAUGCUGCUUUAGGACUGAUGUUUGAAGGAAAGGAAUCCCUGGAUGGCCGGGGCUGGAGCACACUGGGGACAGGGAUGGCCUGGUCACUGCCCUAUUGCUGCUGCGACCAUGCAGAGUGUGCCAUGGGGAGCAGCAUGGGGUCCCUGAGCCCCCAGCACUGCCCUGCACUGGGCACACUGGGCUGCUGGGGUCUGACUGGGAGCAGCAGCACUCACACCCCAAUGGGUUACGCACUGUGGAGGCUCACGCAGCUGUCCUUCCCUUGGCUUAAUUUCAGACAUUCCUAUCGAUGCUAUUUCCCCUCCCACACACCUCAAUGCGAUGCCUGCUCAAGUGAGCCCCUCUCUGAUAUCCAAGAACCACGUGUGCAAGUAGUUUGACUUCUCCACUGCACCCAGACCUGGACUCAGCACCGGUGUGGGAUGGAAGCAGCAGCAACCACUGCCAUGUCCCUUCCCCUAUAAGCAUUGCCCCAAAAGGUUGAGCACCUGCUCAACCUGACUGCAGGGCAUGCUCCUGCUCACUAUUUACCCUCAUGUUGUGUUUCCCUCCUCAUGAGCCCCUCCUGGUGUGUGCACAGAGAUGAAGAGUGCCAGUGGCCACCCAAAGGGAUAGAGCAUCCCAGCGUGCCACAGGUCCCAGCCUGGAGGCAUUGCAUGCAGUCAGACCCUGCACACUGCUUGACCUCAGCGCGAGCCCACACCGCUCCGCUUUCCCCAGAUUUGCUUUAUCUCUCUGGGAGCCUGAUGCCUCCCAUCUGCUCCAGUGCCAGAUGAAAUCGAAUAUUUGUACUUUCCAAGGGCUGUGGUUAGCAAUAAACAAGUUAGCUGACGAGGA